rnacentral:rRNA from 1 species
CCUACGGGGGGCAGCAGUGGGGAAUAUUGGACAAUGGGCGAAAGCCUGAUCCAGCCAUGCCGCGUGUGUGAAGAAGGCCUUCGGGUUGUAAAGCACUUUCAGUGGGGAAGAAAGCCUUGGGGCUAAUACCCUCGAGGAAGGACAUCACCCACAGAAGAAGCACCGGCUAACUCCGUGCCAGCAGCCGCGGUAAUACGGAGGGUGCGAGCGUUAAUCGGAAUUACUGGGCGUAAAGCGCGCGUAGGCGGUCUGAUAAGCCGGUUGUGAAAGCCCCGGGCUCAACCUGGGAACGGCAUCCGGAACUGUCAGGCUAGAGUGCAGGAGAGGAAGGUAGAAUUCCCGGUGUAGCGGUGAAAUGCGUAGAGAUCGGGAGGAAUACCAGUGGCGAAGGCGGCCUUCUGGACUGACACUGACGCUGAGGUGCGAAAGCGUGGGUAGCAAACAGGAUUAGAUCCCCGUGUAGUC